rnacentral:piRNA from 1 species
UAAGCUCAGAACUCUGCCCGAAGCCCUUC